AGCGAACGCUGGCGGCAGGCCUAACACAUGCAAGUCGAGCGCCGUAGCAAUACGGAGCGGCAGACGGGAGAGUAACACGUGGGAACGUACCCUUCAGUACGGAACAACCAAGGGAAACUUUGGCUAAUACCGUAUACGUCCGUAAGGAGAAAGAUUUAUCGCUGAAGGAUCGGUCCGCGUCGGAUUAGCUUGUUGGUGAGGUAACGGCUCACCAAGGCGACGAUCAGUAGCUGGUCUGGGAGGAUGAUCAGCCUCACUGGGACUGAGACACGGCCCAGAAUCCUACGGGAGGCAGCAGUGGGGAAUAUUGGACAAUGGGCGCAAGCCUGAUCCAGCCAUGCCGCGUGGGUGAUGAAGGCCCUAGGGUUGUAAAGCCCUUUCGGCGGGGAAGAUAAUGACGGUACCCGCAGAAGAAGCCCCGGCUAACUUCGUGCCAGCAGCCGCGGUAAGAC
rnacentral:rRNA from 1 species